CCUCUCAGAUCUUUUCAGCUGAGAAACCCGUGUCUCCUCUGGUUGAGAAGUUCCAGUGAGAGAGAGCUGAGUGCCUUCUCAGUGAGGUGGGAGAUGGGUGUUCAGCGCAGUGGCUGGGGAGUCCUGGACUCCCAUUCUGGCUCAGUGGUGAUGAGACCUUGGCGACAUGUGAACUACUCAUUGACUAACAAGACGAUUAGAAAUUGGUAAGUUGUUACUUUUGAUUGCUCUUUUUUUUCCCUAGAGGAUAGUUUUUUGACUAAG
rnacentral:lncRNA from 1 species